AUGGGUUUAGUGUAAUGUGUAGCACGACAGUCUCCAAAACUGUUAGUGAGGGUUCAAAUCCCUCAGUCCAUGCCA
rnacentral:tRNA from 1 species